CACGUAGUUAGCCGGUGCUUCUUAUCAAGGUACCGUCAUCCCCACCCGGUAUUAGCGGAUAGGAUUUCUUUCCUUGCGAAAGAGCUUUACAACCCGAAGGCCUUCUUCACUCACGCGGCAUGGCUGGAUCAGGGUUCCCCCCAUUGUCCAAAAUUCCCCACUGCUGCCUCCCGUAGGAGUCUGGGCCGUGUCUCAGUCCCAGUGUGGCUGGUCGUCCUCUCAGACCAGCUACGGAUCGUCGCCUUGGUGGGCCUUUACCCCACCAACUAGCUAAUCCGGCAUCGGCCGCUCCAAUAACGCGAGGUCUUACGAUCCCCCGCUUUCCCCCUCAGGGCGUAUGCGGUAUUAGCACAUCUUUCGAUGUGUUAUCCCCCAUUACUGGGUACGUUCCGGUGCAUUACUCACCCGUUCGCCACUCGCCACCAGGUGCAAGCACCCGUGCUGCCGUUCGACUUGCAUGUGUAAAGCAUGCCGCCAGCGUUCAAUCUGAGCCAGGAUCAAACUCU
rnacentral:rRNA from 1 species